AGGAAGCUGCCUGGAAGGCUGAGCAGCCAUCGUCCCUCGCGCAGAAGCCAGCCAACGAUCGACGAGUUGCUCGCACGGGAAAAAGGAUGCGUGGCGUUCCGCGGCUCCGGCUGUUUUGCAAAAAAGCUCUCCGUUUUUCUCAGAACCGUAAUGAAGUCCAGCGUGCCCAACCCGUACAGGAACCGCGUUCGUUUAUUUUCCACAUAGGCUCUCUAACUAAAAUUUAUUUCUACGAGAAGAAGGAAAAAUUCGAUAAUGUUGUUCUUUUUACAACAACCUCUCGAUCAUUUUUCGAACACCCCCUCCCACCACCCCAAUCGGCCAAAAACCCCCCUCCCUCGUGCAGCCCGAACCCUAAUCC
rnacentral:lncRNA from 1 species